CCCUCUCUUGGGGGGGGGGGGGCGAGUUGGGAAUCUUUCCACAAUGGACGCAAGUCUGAUGGAGCAACGCCGCGUGAGUGAAGAAGGUCUUCGGAUCGUAAAGCUCUGUUGUUGGUGAAGAAGGAUAGAGGCAGUAACUGGUCUUUAUUUGACGGUAAUCAACCAGAAAGUCACGGCUAACUACGUGCCAGCAGCCGCGGUAAUACGUAGGUGGCAAGCGUUGUCCGGAUUUAUUGGGCGUAAAGCGAGCGCAGGCGGAAUGAUAAGUCUGAUGUGAAAGCCCACGGCUCAACCGUGGAACUGCAUCGGAAACUGUCAUUCUUGAGUGCAGAAGAGGAGAGUGGAACUCCAUGUGUAGCGGUGGAAUGCGUAGAUAUAUGGAAGAACACCAGUGGCGAAGGCGGCUCUCUGGUCUGCAACUGACGCUGAGGCUCGAAAGCAUGGGUAGCGAACAGGAUUAGAUACCCUGGUAGUCCAUGCCGUAAACGAUGAGCGCUAGGUGUUGGGGACUUUCCGGUCCUCAGUGCCGCAGCAAACGCAUUAAGCGCUCCGCCUGGGAGACACCA
rnacentral:rRNA from 1 species